rnacentral:rRNA from 1 species
GACAGAGGAGCCAAGCGUUGUCCGGAAUCAUUGGGCGUAAAGAGCGUGUAGGCGGCCCGGUAAGUCCGCUGUGAAAGUCCAGGGCUCAACCCUGGGAUGCCGGUGGAUACUGUCGGGCUCGAGUCCGGAAGAGGAGUGUGGAAUUCCUGGUGUAGCGGUGAAACGCGCAGAUAUCAGGAGGAACACCAAUGGCGAAGGCAGCACUCUGGGACGUGACUGACGCUGAGACGCGAAAGCGUGGGGAGCAAACAGG